AUUGAACGCUGGCGGCAGGCCUAACACAUGCAAGUCGAGCGGAUGAAGGGAGCUAGCUUCUGGAUUCAGCGGCGGACGGGUGAGUAAUGCCUAGGAAUCUGCCUGGUAGUGGGGAUAACGUCCGGAAACGGGCGAUAAUACCGCAUACGUCCCGAGGGAGAAAGUGGGGGAUCUUCGGACCUCACGCUCUCAGCUGAGCCUAGGUCGGAUUAGCUAGUUGGUGGGGUAAAGGCCUACCAAGGCGACGAUCCGUAACUGGUCUGAGAGGAUGAUCAGUCACACUGGAACUGAGACACGGUCCAGACUCCUACGGGAGGCAGCAGUGGGGAAUAUUGGACAAUGGGCGAAAGCCUGAUCCAGCCAUGCCACGUGUGUGAAGAAGGUCUUCGGAUUGUAAAGCACUUUAGGUUGGGAGGAAGGGCAGUAAGUUAAUACCUUGCUGUUUUGACGUUACCAACAGAAUAAGCACCGGCUAACUUCGUG
rnacentral:rRNA from 1 species